rnacentral:rRNA from 1 species
AUUGAACGCUGGCGGCAGGCCUAACACAUGCGAGUCGAGCGGAUGAAGGGAGCUUGCUCCUGGAUUCAGCGGCGGACGGGUGAGUAAUGCCUAGGAAUCUGCCUGGUAGUGGGGGAUAACGUCCGGAAACGGGCGCUAAUACCGCAUACGUCCUGAGGGAGAAAGUGGGGGAUCUUCGGACCUCACGCUAUCAGAUGAGCCUAGGUCGGAUUAGCUAGUUGGUGGGGUAAAGGCCUACCAAGGCGACGAUCCGUAACUGGUCUGAGAGGAUGAUCAGUCACACUGGAACUGAGACACGGUCCAGACUCCUACGGGAGGCAGCAGUGGGGAAUAUUGGACAAUGGGCGAAAGCCUGAUCCAGCCAUGCCGCGUGUGUGAAGAAGGUCUUCGGAUUGUAAAGCACUUUAAGUUGGGAGGAAGGGCAGUAAGUUAAUACCUUGCUGUUUUGACGUUACCAACGGAAUAAGCACCGGCUAACUUCGUG